AAGUCGUAACAAGGUUUCCGUAGGUGAACCUGCGGAAGGAUCAUUGACACAAAUAUAAAACAAAUAAUCACACUUGUAUGAAAAUCUUUAUUUUAACUACCAUUACUCAAAGUACACUUAUUAAUCAAAAAAUUUUCUACUGCUUGUCAGUGCAAAAUAUGAAUACUAGUAUAUUCAACAAUUGUUACAACAGUUAACAACGGAUAUCUAGGCUCUUA
rnacentral:misc_RNA from 1 species